UAUACACAGCUUCAACAACCCUGCAAUGAAAAUCAAGCAUUUUGAUGGUAUAGUAACUGCUGCUACAUAAUUUUACACGGGGAUGGGUCAUAGGGUUGUGAUAUUUACCUUUAAGUUAGAUUUGUUCGUGUGUCUGUAUUUAUUUAUCCUUCUUGAAUAACCCUUACAGUGAAGAUAAAAGUGUAAUUAUUUUUACAACAAUGAAAGAUUCAGGGUGCCAGAACCUAAUAUCCUAGUGCCCAGCAACCAUAACUAGCAUCAGUGAAUAGCACUUCGAGGCUUUUAAUCUCCAUGACAACCUACCUUGCGUUCUCCCAUAAACUACCACUUUGCACGCAUACAAACAUGUUCUUUAUGCACACGGUCUACGUUAAUAAAUAUCACCUGCACUGAACACCAAAAAAAACUUCCUUUUAAACAACUCUGAGUUUUCCCUAUAAAACUAAUUAAUUGAACUGAGAAAGAGCUUAAUUUAUAUCUUUACAUCUAUAGCACACCUACGCAAUAAGCCACCAAAAGACUUUCGGAAAUAGAUGUUGAAACUGAUACCUUCUUCACGUGAAACGCCGCGGAGACACUCCCCCGAAACCCUCUUGGCUGUUCCAUCGGUAACACUUUCUUGUGGUGGACUCAUUACAUCUGUUGAUCAUCUGGAUUCAGAGCCUUUAAUUUGACCUUCACAUAAGAAACGUGAAGACUCCCGAAUCCUAACAUUCUUAUGUGCAGUCGCUCCAGUCUGUAAAACCUGGUGAAGCAUUAUUAGAAGACAAAAAAUCGGUCAAGCUAUGCUACAAAGCCAAAUUGAGUCCUUUAAUGAAUUCAACUUUUAACAAUAUAAUUUAGUUUAAAUAAUAGUAUAUUUAUAGUCACAAUCAAUUUAAAAAACAUUUUCUCGUUUUUCUCCUUUAAAAUAUUUUGUUUCAUUCCUGUGAUAAAAAGAAUUGAUUUUUGUUCUUCUACUACGUAAAUUUGUGGAGAAGUGUGGUGUUUUUCUGUUUUGCUUUUACAGCCCUCAGCAAAUUUUGGCAUAAGAGCAGUCAGUGGUGUUUCACAGUCUCUGUGGCAAAUAGUUCACUUUUCCACAGGUCACACGAAAGUUUAUUCAAGGAAGAUUCAGCUUAACUUGAUUCAUUCAUUUAUUCAGCAAAUGUUUCCUAAGAGCUUAUUAUAUGUAAGGCACUGUGUGAGGUCCAAGGGAUGCUAGAAUAAAUAAGACACCAUCCGGAUCCUCCA
rnacentral:lncRNA from 1 species